AUGACGAGGGUUGAUCGGAAGUUGAAGAGCGAUAAGUUCGUUGGAGAUGCUUGUGUAUUCCCGGUUGUGGGAUUGCUUCGUAGCUGUGAAGAUGUGAUAGAUGUGUGGGCGACGACUUUGAUGGUGGCUGGUAGUUCUGAAAGGGAGGCGGCGUUAUGGGAGUUGCGAUCGAAAUGGAUGCGCGAAGAUGUUUGCACAACGGCAGGAGGGCGAGUGACGUUGCAAUUCCGCGAUCGAAGUCGCUCGUCGAAGACGCACAGUGGGCUCGUAUCUGGGAAGCUUCGGCCGGCUUGCGGUGGUGGAAGUGUUGCACAGAGAUAUAUGAUUCAUGGAGAGGAUGUAGAGCGCGGGAUCCGAGGCGCAAGGUGUUGA